rnacentral:rRNA from 1 species
GAUUAGUCUCGUUGGUGACCAGCGGAGGGAUCAUUACAGAGUUUUCUAAACUCCCAACCCUAUGUGAACUUACCUUUGUUGCUUCGGCGGCGGAGGCUACCCUAUGGGGGAUACCACCCAGUGGUUACCCUGUAGUCCCGGGUGCUGAUUCGUUCCCAACGUUUCUCGUAAACGGUCAGUUACUUGGUGGCCCUCCCCGCCGGCGGCCAACUAAACUCUGUUUUUAUGGCAUUCUGAAUUAUAAACUUAAUAAGUUAAAACUUUCAACAACGGAUCUCUUGGUUCUGGCAUCGAUGAAGAACGCAGCGAAAUGCGAUAAGUAAUGUGAAUUGCAGAAUUCAGUGAAUCAUCGAAUCUUUGAACGCACAUUGCGCCCAUUAGCAUUCUAGUGGGCAUGCCUGUUCGAGCGUCAUUUCACCACUUAAGCCCUGUUCUUAACCGGUUGGGGGCCUACGGCACUGCCCGUAGCCCCCUAAAGUGAUUGGCGGAGUUGGUUCUCACUCUAGGCGUAGUAAAUCUAUCUCGCCUCUGUAGUGGUGCCGGCCCCUGCCGUAAAACCCCCUAUAUCAAAGGUUGACCUCGGAUCAGGUAGGAAUACCCGCUGAACUUAAGCAUAUCAAAAAA